GAUGAACGCUGGCGGCGUGCCUAAUACAUGCAAGUCGAGCGAACAGACGAGGAGCUUGCUCCUCUGACGUUAGCGGCGGACGGGUGAGUAACACGUGGAUAACCUACCUAUAAGACUGGGAUAACUUCGGGAAACCGGAGCUAAUACCGGAUAAUAUAUUGAACCGCAUGGUUCAAUAGUGAAAGACGGUUUUGCUGUCACUUAUAGAUGGAUCCGCGCCGCAUUAGCUAGUUGGUAAGGUAACGGCUUACCAAGGCAACGAUGCGUAGCCGACCUGAGAGGGGGCUCGUCCACAGUGGAAGGCGGACACCGUACAAGCGCCAAGGGAAGGACACAGCAGGGAACAUGACCAAAGGGGCGAAACAUUGAAGGAUGAACGGCCUGGGGAGGAAGACGGUCUUCGUUGCGUAAAACUGUUUUAUUAGGGAAAAAAAAAUUGUAAAGAGAUGAACAGCGUUUAGAGGGUACCAAAACAAAAGGCCGGGGGUAACCACGA
rnacentral:rRNA from 1 species